rnacentral:rRNA from 1 species
UACGAAGGGGGCUAGCGUUGCUCGGAUUGACUGGGCGUAAAGGGCGCGUAGGCGGUUCGUACAGUCAGACGUGAAAUUCCUGGGCUCAACCUGGGGGCUGCGUUUGAUACGUAUGGACUGGAGUGGGGAAGAGGGUCGUGGAAUUCCCAGUGUAGAGGUGAAAUUCGUAGAUAUUGGGAAGAACACCGGUGGCGAAGGCGGCGACCUGGUCCUUGACUGACGCUGAGGCGCGAAAGCGUGGGGAGCAAACAGG